rnacentral:rRNA from 1 species
UAGGGAAUCUUCCGCAAUGUGCGUAAGCCUGACGGAGCAACGCUGCGUGAGUGAUGAAGGUCUUCGGAUCGUAAAACUUUGUUAUUAGGGAAGAACAAAUGUGUAAGUAACUAUGCACGUCUUGACGGUACCUAAUCAGAAAGCCACGGCUAACUACGUGCCAGCAGCCGCGGUAAUACGUAGGUGGCAAGCGUUAUCCGGAAUUAUUGAGCGUAAAGCGCGCGUAGGCGGUUUUUUAAGUCUGAUGUGAAAGCCCACGACUCAACCGUAGAGGGUCAUUGGAAACUGGAAAACAUGAGUUCAGAAAAGGAAAGUGGUAUUCCAUGUGUAGCGGUGAAAUACACAGAGAUAUGGAGGAACACCAGUGGCGAAGGCGACUUACUGGUCUGUAACUGACGCUAAUGUGCGAAAGCGGGGGGAUCAAACAGG